CUGUGAUAACAGUUACAAUAACUGAACUCAGUUGCUAAAGAUGGAGGAAUUUGUUAAAGUGGAUUAUAAAUUAUAUAUUGAUUACCGAAUUUAAUUUUGGUGUCGUCCGAGUGGAUUCAUCUAAAAACAGGUAACUUUCUACUCUCUCAUCUGCUCUGAUGAUGACAUUAGUAAAGGUGAAACAUCAAUGUUAUUUUGACUGAUCUGCCUUAACCUUUCUGAUUAUCUAAAGGAAAUGCACUCAGUGUUCAAUCAAUAAGAGUCACUCUUGGUGCUCUCUAUCGAUGACUAGAGACAUGCUCUGGUUUUGUAACUACCCCAAGAUGUGGACUGAAAUAGAAAUCUACUCUUCCUACCUGUUAAAGAGGAGGGCUAAAAAUAUAAAGGAAAUAACGGAGAGUAGAGAAGUAGUAAUGCCUAUUAGAGAGAUCUAACAACGGAUGUACGUUUCCAAACAUACAGUAUUAAAAUAAUGCAGUAAUCAUCAAGUUGGAAAAGAAUGCUAUUACACACAGCCUUGCAACUCUAAACAGGUUUUUUAAAACAAAUAAAUUGGCUUUACUUCGGAAGUUACUAGUUUAAUCAUUGUUACCUAUAACCGCUCUGCCAUAUUACAGCUUAAGAUACUGAAAGGAAAAUGUAUUUAGACCAGCUAAUACAGACUGACCUAACAACUGAAGUUGGCAGACCACUUUUUUCCAAGGCUGUUUCAUACUUCAUCAAAACUCUCCUAGUAUUUAAACAAUGCUG